UCGGCGUGAUGACCGAAAAGAUAAUCCAACUCUGAAGCCUAUGUGUUGAACAAACUUCUAGAGCUUUUUAACCCUGACCGAU
rnacentral:snoRNA from 1 species